rnacentral:rRNA from 1 species
AUUGCGGUGAUUCAUAAUAACUGAUCGAAUCUCUUUUUGAGAUAAAUCAUACAAGUUUCUGCCCUAUCAGCUUUCGAUGGUAGUGUAUUGGACUACCAUGGCAGUAACGGGUAACGAAGAAUUAGGGUUCGAUUUCGGAGAGGGAGCAUGAGAAACGGCUACCACAUCUAAGGAAGGCAGCAGGCGCGUAAAUUACCCAAUCCUGACUCAGGGAGGUAGUGACAAGAAAUAGCAAACCGGGAACCUCAUGGUUUCACGGUAUUGCAAUGAGAACAAUUUAAAACCCUUAGCGAGAAUCAAGUGGAGGACAAGUCUGGUGCCAGCACCCGCGGUAAUUCCAGCUCCACUAGCGUAUAUUAAAGUUGUUGCAGUUAAAAAGCUCGUAGUUGAACCUCUGUCUGGGGCUAGUUUUGGCUUUGGUCAGGCUAGUUCUAGGCAUCCGCCUACAAGACUUAGAGGGCAUUCAGUUGUUCACUAGGAGGAGUAGGCAUUUUACUUUGAAAAAAUUAGAGUGUUUAAGGCAGGCAAUCGCCCGCAUAUAUUAGCAUGGAAUAAUAGAAUAGGACACUUUUCCAUUUCGUUGGUUAUUGGAAUCGUGUAAUGAUUAAUAGGGACAGUUGUGGGCAUUUGUAUUUAAUUGUCAGAGGUGAAAUUCUUGGAUUUAUUAAAGACAAACUAACGCGAAAGCAUUUGCCAAGGAUGUUUUCAUUAAUCAAGAACGAAAGUUAGGGGAUCAAAGACGAUCAGAUACCGUCCUAGUCUUAACUAUAAACUAUUCCGACUCAAUGUUUGACUGGCUUAUAUAACCAGUUGAGCGUUGUAUGAGAAAUCAAAGUCUUUAGGUUCUGGGGGGAGUAUGGUUGCAAAGCUGAAACUUAAAGGAAUUGACGGAAGAGCACAACCAGGAGUGGAUUCUGCGGCUUAAUUUGACUCAACACGGGGAAACUUACCAGGUUAAAACAAUAGUGGGAUUGACAGUUUGAGAGCGCUUUCUUGAUUGGUUGGGUGGUGGUGCAUGGCCGUUCUUAGUUGGUGGAGUGAUUUGUCUGCUUAAUUGCGUUAACGAACGAGACCUUAACCUGCUUACUAGACUGGCGAUCAUCAAUCGUUAGCUCUUCUUAGAGGGACUUUGGUUGUUUUAACUCCAAGGAAGUUUGAGGCAAUAACAGGUCUGUGAUGCCCUUAGAUAUCCUGGGCCGCACGCGUCAUACAAUGACUAGUUCAGAAAGUUUUCUCCUGACCCGAAAGGGGAUGGGUAAUCUUGAUAAUACUAGUCGUGUUAGGGAUCGAUCUUUGCAAUUAUAGAUCUUGAACGAGGAAUUCCU